rnacentral:tRNA from 1 species
GACCAGUUAGCUCAAUUGGUUGAGCAUGGUGCUGAUAACACCAAGGUCGCGGGUUGGAUUCCCGUUUGCUCC